AAUUACCCACUCCCGGCACGGGGAGGUAGUGACGAAAAAUAACGAUACGGGACUCAUCCGAGGCCCCGUAAUCGGAAUGAGUACACUUUAAACCCUUUAACGAGUAUCCAUUGGAGGGCAAGUCUGGUGCCAGCAGCCGCGGUAAUUCCAGCUCCAAUAGCGUAUAUUAAAGUUGUUGCGGUUAAAAAGCUCGUAGUUGGAUGUGUGUCCCACGCUGUCGGUUCACCGUUCGUCGGUGUUUAACUGGCAUGCCCGUGUGGACGUCCUGCUGGUGGAUGCAGCGGGCCGUGGGCUUCUGGCCUGCGUGUCGGCGGUCCGAUUCAAUCCUACCGCGGUGCUCUUCACCGAGUGUCGAGGUGGGCCAGCACGUUUACUUUGAACAAAUUAGAGUGCUCAAAGCAGGCAGUGGUUCGCCUGAAUAUUGUGUGCAUGGAAUAAUGGAAUAGGACCUCGGUUCUAUUUUGUUGGUUUUCGGAACUUGAGGUAAUGAUUAAUAGGGACAGACGGGGGCAUUCGUAUUGCGACGUUAGAGGUGAAAUUCUUGGAUCGUCGCAAGACGAACCUAAGCGAAAGCAUUUGCCAUGAGUGUUUUCAUUAAUCAAGAACGAAAGUUAGAGGUUCGAAGGCGAUCAGAUACCGCCCUAGUUCUAACCAUAAACGAUGCCAGCUAGCGAUCCGCCGAAGUUCCUCCGAUGACUCGGCGGGCAGCUUCCGGGAAACCAAAGCUUUUGGGUUCCGGGGGAAGUAUGGUUGCAAAGCUGAAACUUAAAGGAAUUGACGGAAGGGCACCACCAGGAGUGGAGCCUGCGGCUUAAUUUGACUCAACACGGGAAACCUCACCAGGCCCGGACACCGGAAGGAUUGACAGAUUGAGAGCUCUUUCUUGAUUCGGUGGGUGGUGGUGCAUGGCCGUUCUUAGUUGGUGGAGCGAUU
rnacentral:rRNA from 1 species